rnacentral:piRNA from 1 species
UGACUGACGAGAGGUCACAGUGUGUUGGACUU